UUUAAUGAGAGUUUGAUCCUGGCUCAGGACGAACGCUGGCGGCGUGCCUAAUACAUGCAAGUAGAACGCUGAAGAGAGGAGCUUGCUCUUCUUGGAUGAGUUGCGAACGGGUGAGUAACGCGUAGGUAACCUGCCUGGUA
rnacentral:rRNA from 1 species